AGUGGGAUAGCUGGGUCAUAUGGUGGUUUCAUUUUUACAUUUUUCAGAAUUAUCCAUACUGCUUUCCAGAAUGAAUGCACUAAUUUGCAGUCCCACCAACAAU
rnacentral:pre_miRNA from 1 species